rnacentral:rRNA from 1 species
GACGAACGCUGGCGGCGUGCCUAAUACAUGCAAGUCGAGCGAUGAGGCUUGGUGCUUGCACCAAUUUGGAGAGCAGCGAACGGGUGAGUAACGCGUGGAGAAUCUGCCUUUGAGCGGGGGACAACAUUUGGAAACGGAUGCUAAUACCGCAUAACAUCUUUAAACAUAAGUUUUAAGGUUGAAAGACGCAAUUGCAUCAAUCAAUGGUGGUCCCGCGGUGUAUUAGCUAGUUGGUGAGGUAAAGGCUCACCAAGGCGAUGAUACCUAGCCGACCUGAGAGGGUGGUCGGCCACAUUGGGACUGGGGAACGGCCCCAAAGCCUACGGGAGGCAGCAGUAGGGGAUCUUCGGGAAAGGAGGGAAGUCUGACCGAGGAACGGCGGGUGAGUGAAGGAGGUUCUCGGAUUGUAAAACUCCGUUGGUAGGGGAGAAAGUUGGUGGGAGGGGAAAGUGCACCAAGUGACGGUAACUACCCAGAAAGGGACGGCUAACUACGUG